UUUUACAUGAACACAACUAACUUUAAUAUCAACCAUGUGGAUACAUUGAAAUUAUUAAUGUUAAUAUUGAUCAGUAAUUAGGAUUUUAUCGGAUAAGGUAUUCUAAGCAAUCAAAUUCAAUUCAACUCGAUAACUUAUCAAAGAUUAAUUGAUAAUUAUAUUAGUUGAAAUGUGUUUGAAUCACCUGAUUUUUACCUGUUCCGAUUAUGUGAGAAAAUGUCAAACUAUUUAAAAAUAAUUAUUUUCUCUAAGUAUAAAAGGAGGUGAAAUUGAAUUGUGAAAAUCAUUCUGACUCUUCAUUUGUUCAACAAACAAUUAACUGAUUAUUUGAAUUUUGCUCGUGUGUUUAAAUCACUCAUUUCAAUCCCAACAAAUAAAAUGGACUCCAAAUCAAUCAUCGUUUAUGUCGCUCUCUUUGCUUCAGCCAUCGCAAUGGCUUUUGCUAACCCAGAGCCCGAACCUGAACCACAACCAAUCAUGCAGUUGGUCAACGGUCUUCUCGGAAAGUAAUUAUAAUCAUGUAGAGAAAUUGUCUCAUUAUUGAAAAUAAACCAAUUAAUCAAUGAAGUUUUUACUGAUUAAAAUGAGACGAGUUAAUUUCUAUUAACCGAUAUGUUACUCUGAUUGAUAAAUUUAAAUAAAGAUUUAUUAUCAACUCAAA